ensembl:lncRNA
GUUCAGGAACAGUUUGAGGAACAUGACAAAGAGUUCGAAGUGUUGACUUGGCCUCAAUUCAUAAGAUCUCAAUCCGAUCCUGCAUCUGUGGGACGUGCUGGAGAAACAAGUCCGAUCCAUGGAGGCCCCACUUCGCGACUUACAGGACUUAAAGGAUCUGCUGCUAACGUCUUGGUGCCAGAUACCCCAGCACAUCUUCAGAGGUCUUGUGGAGUCCAUGCCUCGACGGGUCCGAGGUGUUCUGGAAGCACGAUGGAGACCAACACAAUAUCAGCCUUGCUCAGGUCGUGCUCUCUGACCGGUGAGGCCCAGCCCCCUGCAAUGCAUCAUGUUCUGGCAGCUGGUUUGUCACUGGAAGAUCUCGAAUCGCACGCACCUGGCAUCUGUCCCCUGCUUUGUGAUUUGUUGAUCGAGGCCAUUUACGUUUAAUCCAUUUUGAGCUUUCUGAUGUCUGGCAUUCGCAACAAGAACAACAACAGUGAUAGAAAGACGCAUUAAGGCUGGCGAGGGAUGGAUAAUACUGUCCGUCCUCACCAUAUCAAUAUUCCUCUUG